AUACUUACCUUUUUGAGAGACUCUCAUGAUCAAGCAUAUGAGGUCUUAGAUGGUUGGAAUCUGCAUUGCACAGCGUGGUGUUCUACCUUCUCUACUAUCCUUCGGGGUCGUAGUCGGAGUAAUUUUUGUUUUCACACUGUCUUUUUCGUUGUGCA
rnacentral:snRNA from 17 species